rnacentral:rRNA from 1 species
GGGCGCAUAAGUAACAGGUCGUAGACCCGAAACCAGGUGAUCUACCCAUGUCCAGGAUGAAGGUAAGGUAAUACUUACUGGAGGUCCGAACCCACGCACGUUGAAAAGUGCGGGGAUGAGGUGUGGGUAGCGGAGAAAUUCCAAUCGAACUUGGAGAUAGCUGGUUCUCUCCGAAAUAGCUUUAGGGCUAGCCUCGAGGUAAAGAGUCAUGGAGGUAGAGCACUGUUUGGACUAGGGGCCCUUCUCGGGUUACCGAAUUCAGAUAAACUCCGAAUGCCAUGUACUUAUACUCGGGAGUCAGACUGCGAGUGAUAAGAUCCGUAGUCGAAAGGGAAACAGCCCAGACCACCAGUUAAGGUCCCCAAAUAUAUGUUAAGUGGAAAAGGAUGUGGGGUUGCUUAGACAACCAGGAUGUUGGCUUAGAAGCAGCCACCAUUGAAAGAGUGCGUAAUAGCUCACUGGUCGAGUGACCCCGCGCCGAAAAUGUACCGGGGCUAAACAUAUUACCGAAACUGUGGAUGAACCUCUUUAGAGGUUCGUGGUAGGAGAGCGUUCUAAGGGCGGUGAAGUCAGACCGGAAGGACUGGUGGAGCGCUUAGAAGUGAGAAUGCCGGUAUGAGUAGCGAAAGAAGGGUGAGAAUCCCUUCCACCGAAUAUCUAAGGUUUCCUGAGGAAGGCUCGUCCGCUCAGGGUUAGUCGGGACCUAAGCCGAGGCCGAUAGGCGUAGGCGAUGGACAACAGGUAGAGAUUCCUGUACCAGUGCUAAUUGUUUAACCGAUGGGGUGACACAGAAGGAUAGGGAAUCGCACGAAUGGAAAUGUGCGUCCAAGCAGUGAGUGUGAGAAGUAGGCAAAUCCGCUUCUCGCGAAGCAUGAGCUGUGAUGGGGAAGGAAAUUAAGUACGGAAGUUCCUGAUUUCACGCUGUCAAGAAAAGCCUCUAGGAAGAGUAGUACUGCCCGUACCGCAAACCGACACAGGUAGAUGAGGAGAGAAUCCUAAGGUGAGCGAGAGAACUCUCGUUAAGGAACUCGGCAAAAUGACCCCGUAACUUCGGGAGAAGGGGUGCUCUAUUAGGGUGCAAGCCCGAGAGAGCCGCAGUGAAUAGGCCCAGGCGACUGUUUAGCAAAAACACAGGUCUCUGCAAAACCGUAAGGUGACGUAUAGGGGCUGACGCCUGCCCGGUGCUGGAAGGUUAAGAGGAGUGCUUAGCUUCGGCGAAGGUACGAAUUGAAGCCCCAGUAAACGGCGGCCGUAACUAUAACGGUCCUAAGGUAGCGAAAUUCCUUGUCGGGUAAGUUCCGACCCGCACGAAAGGCGCAACGAUCUGGGCACUGUCUCAACGAGAGACUCGGUGAAAUUAUAGUACCUGUGAAGAUGCAGGUUACCCGCGACAGGACGGAAAGACCCCGUGGAGCUUUACUGCAACCUGAUAUGGAAUGUUUGUACCGCUUGUACAGGAUAGGUAGGAGCCGAAGAGACGUGUGCGCUAGCAUACGAGGAGGCAAUGGUGGGAUACUACCCUGGCUGUAUGACCAUUCUAACCCGCCACGCUUAGCGCGUGGGGAGACAGUGUCAGGUGGGCAGUUUGACUGGGGCGGUCGCCUCCUAAAGAGUAACGGAGGCGCCCAAAGGUUCCCUCAGAAUGGAUGGAAAUCAUUCGCAGAGUGUAAAGGCACAAGGGAGCUUGACUGCGAGACUGACAAGUCGAGCAGGGACGAAAGUCGGGCUUAGUGAUCCGGUGGUUCCGCAUGGAAGGGCCAUCGCUCAACGGAUAAAAGCUACCCCGGGGAUAACAGGCUUAUCUCCCCCAAGAGUCCACAUCGACGGGGAGGUUUGGCACCUCGAUGUCGGCUCGUCGCAUCCUGGGGCUGUAGUCGGUCCCAAGGGUUGGGCUGUUCGCCCAUUAAAGCGGCACGCGAGCUGGGUUCAGAACGUCGUGAGACAGUUCGGUCCCUAUCCGUCGCGGGCGCAGGAAAUUUGAGAGGAGCUGUCCUUAGUACGAGAGGACCGGGAUGGACACACCGCUGGUGUACCAGUUGUUCCGCCAGGAGCAUCGCUGGGUAGCUAUGUGUGGCAGGGAUAAACGCUGAAAGCAUCUAAGCGUGAAGCCCCCCUCAAGAUGAGAUUUCCCAUUUCUUCGGAAAGUAAGAUCCCUGAAAGAUGAUCAGGUAGAUAGGUUUGGAGUGGAAGUGUAGCGAUACAUGGAGCGGACAAAUACUAAUCGAUCGAGGACUUAACCAAAA